rnacentral:rRNA from 1 species
GAUGAACGCUAGCGGCAGGCCUAACACAUGCAAGUCGAGGGGUAGAAGGAGCUUGCUCCUUUGAGACCGGCGCACGGGUGCGUAACGCGUAUGCAAGCUACCUUGUACAGGGGAAUAGCCCAGAGAAAUUUGGAUUAAUGCCCCAGAGUAUAUAACCUUCGCAUGUUGGUUAUAUUAAAGUUCCAACGGUACAAGAUGAGCAUGCGUCCCAUUAGUUAGUUGGUAAGGUAACGGCUUACCAAGACGAUGAUGGGUAGGGGUCCUGAGAGGGCGAUCGCCCGCCCUGGAACUGGGUCACGGACCCGGCUCCUGCGGCACGCCGCAGUCUGCAACAUUGGGCAAUGGUGGCGAGUCUGAGACAGCCAGGCCGCGUGCAGGAAGACGGUCCUAUGGAUGGUAAGAUGCUUUUAUACAGGAAAAACCCCUCCCCCGGGUGUGAGCUUGACGGUACUGUAGGAAUAAGGACCGGCUAACUCCGUG